rnacentral:ribozyme from 13 species
ACACACACAGAAGAAGAAGCAGACCGAAAGAAAUGAAAGAAAGAAAGAAAACUUUUGGUUUUAGUUUUAGUUUUUAUAUUGGUUUUUUUUUUUUUUUUUUUU